UACGGCGACUGCGAAUGGCUCAUUAUAUAAGUUAUCGUUUAUUUGAUAGCACCUUACUACUUGGAUAACCGUGGUAAUUCUAGAGCUAAUACAUGCUAAAAAUCCCGACUUCGGAAGGGAUGUAUUUAUUAGAUUAAAAACCAAUGCCCUCUGGGCUCUCUGGUGAUUCAUGAUAACUUCUCGAAUCGCAUGGCCUUGCGCCGGCGAUGGUUCAUUCAAAUUUCUUCCCUAUCAACUUUCGAUGUUUGGGUAGUGGCCAAACAUGGUUGCAACGGGUAACGGAGGGUUAGGGCUCGACCCCGGAGAAGGAGCCUGAGAAACGGCUACUACAUCCAAGGAAGGCAGCAGGCGCGCAAAUUACCCAAUCCCGACACGGGGAGGUAGUGACAAUAAAUACUGAUACAGGGCUCUUUUGGGUCUUGUAAUUGGAAUGAGUACAAUUUAAAUCCCUUAACGAGGAACAAUUGGAGGGCAAGUCUGGUGCCAGCAGCCGCGGUAAUUCCAGCUCCAAUAGCGUAUAUUAAAGUUGUUGUGGUUAAAAAGCUCGUAGUUGAACCUUGGGCCUGGCUGGCCGGUCCGCCUCACCGCGUGCACUGGUCCGGCCGGGCCUUUCCCUCUGUGGAACCCCAUGCCCUUCACUGGGUGUGGCGGGGAAACAGGACUUUUACUUUGAAAAAAUUAGAGUGCUCCAGGCAGGCCUAUGCUCGAAUACAUUAGCAUGGAAUAAUGAAAUAGGACGUGCGGUUCUAUUUUGUUGGUUUCUAGGACCGCCGUAAUGAUUAAUAGGGACAGUCGGGGGCAUCAGUAUUCAAUUGUCAGAGGUGAAAUUCUUGGAUUUAUUGAAGACUAACUACUGCGAAAGCAUUUGCCAAGGAUGUUUUCAUUAAUCAGGAACGAAAGUUAGGGGAUCGAAGACGAUCAGAUACCGUCGUAGUCUUAACCAUAAACUAUGCCGACUAGGGAUCGGACGAUGUUAUUUUUUGACUCGUUCGGCACCUUACGAGAAAUCAAAGUGCUUGGCUCCAGGGGGAGUAUGGUCGCAGGCUGAAACUUAAAGAAAUUGACGAGGCACCACCAGGGUGG
rnacentral:rRNA from 1 species